UACAGAGGGUGCGAGCGUUAAUCGGAAUUACUGGGCGUAAAGCGUGCGUAGACGGUUAUUUAAGUCGGGUGUGAAAGCCCCGGGCUCAACCUGGGAAUUGCAUUCGAGACUGAAUAGCUAGGGUACGGUAGAGGGAAGUGGAAUUCCCGGUGUAGCGGUGAAAUGCGCAGAUAUCGGGAAGAACACCCGUGGCUAAGGCGGCUCUCUAGUACGGUACUGACGCUGAGACGCGAAAGCGUGGGGAGCGAACAGG
rnacentral:rRNA from 1 species